GGGCUUUUGGCGUAUUGGUCCAGUGUGUAUCAUUUGGUAUUAUAGCCUCCACGUCCUGGGUUCGAGUCACAGAAAGGUCU